UACGGGGGGGGCAAGCGUUGUUCGGAAUUACUGGGCGUAAAGCGCUCGUAGGCGGAUCGAUCAGUCAGGGGUGAAAUCCCAGGGCUCAACCCUGGAACUGCCUUUGAUACUGUCGAUCUAGAGUCCGGAAGAGGUGAGUGGAAUUGCGAGUGUAGAGGUGAAAUUCGUAGAUAUUCGCAGGAACACCAGUGGCGAAGGCGGCUCACUGGUCCGGUACUGACGCUGAGGAGCGAAAGCGUGGGGAGCAAAC
rnacentral:rRNA from 1 species